CUGUAUGCCCUAUUGAAUUUCUGAAUUUGGAAUGCAACAUUGUUGAGACAUUCCUCUGCAUCAUCAUCAUAUUCCGGAGCAACAUCUUCUUUCUCCAAUUCUGCCUGGAGUGCAUUUGAGAUAGCCUUUCCUUUCUCCUUUCUUUGAUCUUCAAAGUUCAUCUCUCUAGACUUUAGACUACCAAUUAAGUCGUCCAGCCGUAGAGAUGAUGUGUCUUUGGC
rnacentral:lncRNA from 1 species